rnacentral:lncRNA from 1 species
CGUGGAGGCUAUCCUACGCAUAAGCUCGUAGAGGCUAUCCCACGCGUAAGCCCGUGGAGGCUAUCCUACGCAUAAGCUCGUAGAGGCUAUCUCAUUACAAGGUUAGUCCAACCCAUUUUAUAUGUCUAGUUUUACAUGUUUAAUCACAUUUCAAUCACGUCACAUAUUUUCAUAAAUUCUCAAAAAUAUGUUAUUCCUUUCCAAUUUAAUUAUUCCAAUACUUUUAUAAUAAACAAAAUGCACACCUCAUAGUGUCAUACAAGCUCA